rnacentral:rRNA from 1 species
UGCAAGUCGAACGCAGUAGCAAUACUGAGUGGCAAACGGGUGAGUAUAAUGUGGGAAUCUGCCUUUUGGUUUGGAAUAACACGGGGAAACUUGUGCUAAUACCAAAUAAGCCCUUACGGGGAAAGUUUUAAUGCCGAAAGAUGAGCCCGCACUUGAUUAGCUAGUUGGUAAGGUAAAAGCUUACCAAGGCAACGAUCAAUAGCUGUUCUUAGAGGAAGACCAGCCACAUUGGGACUGAGACACGGCCCAGACUCCUACGGGAGGCAGCAGUGGGGAAUCUUGCACAAUGGGGGAAACCCUGAUGCAGCGAUGCCGCGUGAGUGAAGAAGGCCCUUGGGUUGUAAAACUCUUUCGUCGGGGAAGAAAAUGACUGUACCCGAAUAAGAAGGUCCGGCUAACUUCGUGCCAGCAGCCGCGGUAAUACGAAGGGACCUAGCGUAGUUCGGAAUUACUGGGCUUAAAGAGCUCGUAGGUGGUUAAAAAAGUUGAUGGUGAAAUCCCAAGGCUCAACCUUGGAACUGCCAUCAAAACUUUUUAGUUAGAGUGUGAUAGAGGUAAGUGGAAUUUCUAGUGUAGAGGUGAAAUUCGUAGAUAUUAGAAAGAACAUCAAAUGCGUAGGCAACUUACUGGGUCACUACUGACACUGAGGAGCGAAAGCAUGGGUAGCGAAGAGGAUUAGAUACCCUCGUAGUCCAUGCCGUAAACGAUGAGUGCUAGACGUUGGGAAUAUAUUUUUCAGUGUCGCAGCGAAAGCAUUAAGCACUCCGCCUGGGGAGUACGACCGCAAGGUUAAAACUCAAAUGAAUUGACGGGGACC